rnacentral:rRNA from 1 species
UGGGGAAUAUUGGACAAUGGGCGAAAGCCUGAUCCAGCAAUGCCGCGUGAGUGAUGAAGGCCCUAGGGUUGUAAAGCUCUUUUACCCGGGAUGAUAAUGACAGUACCGGGAGAAUAAGCCCCGGCUAACUCCGUGCCAGCAGCCGCGGUAAUACGGAGGGGGCUAGCGUUGUUCGGAAUUACUGGGCGUAAAGCGCACGUAGGCGGCUUUAUAAGUCAGAGGUGAAAGCCCGGAGCUCAACUCCGGAACUGCCUUUGAGACUGUAUCGCUUGAACACGGGAGAGGUGAGUGGAAUUCCGAGUGUAGAGGUGAAAUUCGUAGAUAUUCGGAAGAACACCAGUGGCGAAGGCGGCUCACUGGACCGUUGUUGACGCUGAGGUGCGAAAGCGUGGGGAGCAAACA